rnacentral:rRNA from 1 species
GGCUGCAACUCGCCUACAUGAAGUUGGAAUUGCUAGUAAUCAUAGGUCAGCAUACUAUGGUGAAUACGUUCCCGGGCCUUGUACACACCGCCCGUCACACCAUGAGAGUUGAGAAUACCCGAAGCCCAUGUCAAAGUGGUCGAAGGUAGGCUUGAUGAUUGGGGUGAAGUCGUAACAAGGUAGC